UAUAUUUUAGUGUUUAUUGCCUAUAAAUUUUUCAAAUAUAACCUUUAGUUUAAUUCUUUAAAUAAUA
rnacentral:tRNA from 1 species